AUCGCUGCUGCUCCUACCUCCACUGUCACUCGAGCCACCACCGCCAUACUCGCCCCUCCUCGGAGGGGGAGGGGGAGUCUGACCUCCAGGCUGCUGUAGGACAUAACCGAGACGGCCAUCGGGGAGAUACAUUGGCACCAUUCUCAUCCCUGAUGGCAUUGGUCCUCUACCAUAUAUCACAGGCUGGCUGCCUCUUCCUGCGCCAUAUCCUGCACCGUAAGCUCCAUAUGGAUCACCAGAAUAGCUGUAAGGAGGAUAUUGAGGGUGAUUUGUCAGAAGCCCG
rnacentral:misc_RNA from 1 species